AGUGAACGCUGGCGGUAGGCCUAACACAUGCAAGUCGAACGGCAGCACAGUAAGAGCUUGCUCUUACGGGUGGCGAGUGGCGGACGGGUGAGGAAUACAUCGGAAUCUACUUUUUCGUGGGGGAUAACGUAGGGAAACUUACGCUAAUACCGCAUACGACCUACGGGUGGAAGCAGGGGAUCUUCGGACCUUGCGCGAUUGAAUGAGCCGAUGUCGGAUUAGCUAGUUGGCGGGGUAAAGGCCCACCAAGGCGACGAUCCGUAGCUGGUCUGAGAGGAUGAUCAGCCACACUGGAACUGAGACACGGUCCAGACUCCUACGGGAGGCAGCAGUGGGGAAUAUUGGACAAUGGGCGCAAGCCUGAUCCAGCCAUACCGCGUGGGUGAAGAAGGCCUUCGGGUUGUAAAGCCCUUUUGUUGGGAAAGAAAAGCAGCAGGUUAAUACCCCGCUGUUCUGACGGUACCCAAAGAAUAAGCACCGGCUAGCUUCGUG
rnacentral:rRNA from 1 species